UACGGAGGGUGCAAGCGUUAUCCGGAUUCACUGGGUUUAAAGGGUGCGUAGGCGGGUAAGUAAGUCCGUGGUGAAAUCUCUGAGCUUAACUCAGAAACUGCCGUGGAUACUAUUUGCCUUGAAUAUUGUGGAGGUGAGCGGAAUAUGUCAUGUAGCGGUGAAAAUGCUUAGAUAUGACAUAGAACACCAAAUUGCGAAGGCAGCUCACUACACAAUCAUUGACGCUGAGGCACGAAAGCGUGGGGGAUCAAACAGG
rnacentral:rRNA from 1 species